rnacentral:lncRNA from 1 species
CACUAGUUGUACCAAUAACUAACCCCAAGGAAUUGGACUCAGAAGAGCAAUACAAAUUGCAGCCUUGCCACUUACGAGCUGAGAGAUCUUAGCCAAAAUAACUCAAUCCGUCUGAGCUGUAUUUUUUAUCAGUCGACUGAAGAUGAAUAAUAUUCAGGCUACAAGUUUAUCAAAGAAUUAAUAGAGAUGGAGUCCAUGUUGCCUCGCCUGGUCUUGGACUAUUGGCCUCAAGCGAUCAUCCUACCUCAGCCUCUUAAAGUGCUAGGAUUCAAGGCCUAAACAGGGACACACAGUGUGGUCCAGAGACCUGGUGACAGUGUGUGAAUUGUUACCAGUUCACAGAGCAGUAAGUAUUACAAAACUUGGGAGUAGGUCAUUAGAAAUUUUAUAGGGAUUUCAGCAAUGU